UUUAAUAUGAACUAUAUAGUUCAUAGUUCUAUUGUUAUAAAAUAGAAUAUAUUAUAAAAAAAAUUUAUAUAUUUAAA
rnacentral:tRNA from 1 species